GGGAGGUGUAGAGAUCUGAAGGUUGUCUAGCGCUGCAGGAGUAGAGGAGAUGUGUUUGUUGAGUGGGAGCAUCCUCCGUCACCACCACUCUCCAGUAUCCAUGGAGAUGACACUAUCCUCUUUGAGCUCCUGAGAACUAAACAACAUUCAACAGUUGACGACAAUCGACGAUGCAAUUACGUUAGAAUCCAGCCAUGCAUGACAUGUGCACAGACUGUGGGGGGUCUGGUAUCAAGGUGACCCACCGCCCACUCGGCCCUGUCAUGAUGCAGCAGAUACAGAGCGUAUGCACACACUGUGGGGGGUCUGGUGAUUACAUAAGAGACAAGGACAAGUGCAAGAAAUGCAAAGGAAAGUGUCUCGUGGAAAUCAACCACAAACAAGAGAACACUGCUGGUGACGACCAUAGUGACAAGCAGCUGGAUCACACCGACUACAGGAGAGUCGACUGUGACCUGUUUGUGGAGAAGAACAUCAGUUUAAGGGAGGCUUUGUGUGGCUUCACUUACACUCUGUACCCCCUGGACGGGAGGAACGUGGGUGUGUCCAGGUCACCAGGAGCAGUGCUGUCACCAGGUGAGUAGGUGGCUGGUAGGAGGAGGAUUGUGUAUAGGGCUGCCUUUGAGAGGAGUGUACAUACAAGCUAUUAUAGUGUGUCCCAGCCUUACAAGCUGAGGGGACAUGUGUUAGGGUUAGGUACCUUAGGACUGUUGAUCUGGCAGCUUUAACAAGACAGCCAUUACUUCUGCUAUUUACUUAAUUAACCAAAGCAACUGAAUUGAAAGUGAUAGCUAAGAGUACCAGUGUGAAGGAGGGAGGUUCAUUGAGGUGUACUGGCAUGGCUGUCUUAUAUAUAGUGACAUCCUUCUUGUUCUUCAAUACACUGUAGAGGUGGUGUGGCCAAAUACUGUAUAGCUAUAGCGGGAUUAUUUCGAGGGUCUAAAUGUUUGUGAUUUUCGCUGAUCAAGCAUCUACCGCGAACAUUUAUACCCACAUUUUAAUAUCGCACACAUACACGCUGCAGAAAGACUGCUAUUCCGCGGAAUUAAAUUCUCGAACCUUUUAACGAACCUUUUAACGGUUAAUCCACAAAAAGUUUAUACCCUCAAAAUAUACCCGCUAUACGGUAGUUUAUCGCUCAAAUAUGAACUUUGAUGAUAUCAUUUUAGAGAAGAAGCUCUUUCAGAUGCUUAAUUCCCAAAUUUGGAACAGGUCAUAAUUAGGGUUAGGUAUAGGACUUUUGAUCUGGCACUUUAAACAGUACGUUAUUGCAGUUACAAGAAUAUCACGUGACAGGUACUUCCGCUCUAGACAUUGAACUCUGAAAACCGCUGUAUGUUAUUUCUAUUUUCACUUCAUGUGUAUGUAUUUAUAGUCUUGUGGUCAUGUGCAAUACUAACAGUGGUUGUGUUGUGUGGGCAGUAUUGUACGUAGGUACAUGUACAGUUGCUAAAAAGCUACGAAAACUCUGCCAAUCUAAUUACAACAUACUGAAAGUAGUAUCAAUUGAGUUUACAAUGUGUGUGUGUGUGUGUGUGUGUGUGUGUGUGUGUGUGUGUGUGUGUGUGUGUGUGUGUGUGUGUGUGUGUGUGUGUGUGUGUGUGUGUGUGUGUGUGUGUGUGUGUGUGUGUGUGUGUGUGUGUGUGUGUGUGUGUGUGUGUGUGUGUGUGUGUGUGUGUGUGUGUGUGUGUGUGUGUGUGUGUGUGUGUGUGUGUGUGUGUGUGUGUGUGUGUGUGUGUGUGUCCAGGGUCUGGAGGGUGAGGGGAUGCCAGUGUUCAGGAGGCCUCAUGUCAAGGGCAACCUCUAUGUUCAGUUCACCAUCCAAUUCCCUGACUCUGGUUUCCUGGAGGAGAGUCAACUAAAGGUGUUGGAGUGUCUCCUGCCCACACGACCUGAUCCACCAGCACUGGACCCAGAGGCAGAGGAAGUGGAUAUGAUAGAGAGUGAGGGGACGAGGGGAGUGGGCGGGGCACAAGGGGAUGGAGCCAUAUACGAUGAAGAUGAGGAGGAUGAACGAGUGGGCAGGGCACAGAGGGUGGGCUGCUCUCAACAGUGACACUCUUAGGAACUCUAUUUAUAUAUUCAACGCUUUGAUUGAAUUUAUGGUCGGUUACUGCUAUUGUUCUAAUUAUGUGAAUAACGUUUG